rnacentral:lncRNA from 1 species
AGUACAUAGGCUAUCAUAGCUAUACAGAUUUUUAAAGAUGAGGAUUUGAGAAACUUCCAGUGGUUUUUGUUAAAAAGCGACUUUCCUCAAUAAAAUGACAAACAUUGUUUUCACAGAUCCACAUAUCACAAAAGUAGGACAAAACGAUAGCAGACUGGUAUAUGACUGCUACAUAAGGGUCAGUAAAAGGGAUAAUCUUCACUUGUGCUUCUUUAGAGGUACUUGAAAGUCAUCUCCUAAAGUUAGUGCAUGUGAGUCUUUUUCCUUGAAUUGUGCAGGAUAAUUGGAUGGGGCACAUAUUUUGGGGGAAUAGCAAGUGAAAUGGUAUCAUGACUGCAGAGGCAAGUGAUCUUGAAAUGUAGUAAGAAGAAACAAAUUUUCUUCCUCCAUUUUCAUGUCCGACUAUUCAGGAAGUUACUAUGACAUAUCAUAGCUCUCUUGUGUUAGGCCAAGAUUGGCCAAUUGAAAUAGAGUUCUCAAAGAGUUUAAAUAUAUAGUAUAUGAGCACUUGUUCUUUCCUCCUCUUCUGUGCUAUCUUAACACCCUUUCUAUAUCUGAAAUAAUUCAUUCAUCCAAUUUGCUUUGUGACCAGCUUUAACUGCAGUUUUAGGCUAAUAGCAACCAUAGAGACUGAUACAAAACAGCCUUGAAAUACAUUUUUCAAAUGACACCUAAAAGCACCUACCCAACUUAGAACUGAACUGAAUUUCUAUGAAAAAAAGUUAUUGGUUUUAAAUGCUAAUUAUGUUAAAACUAUUUAAUUCUAAAAACUAGGUCUUAAACAAGUUUCCAAAGUUUCAUUUUUGGAGGAUAUUCCUAAAAAAAAAGAAAAGAAAAGAAAAAAAAAAAGGGCAUACUGAAUAGAUGGGAAAGUAUAAAAUAAUUCUAACAGAAUUAUUCAGUAUUAUUCAACAUUUAAUUUCAUGUUUGUUAUUGUACCACAAAGAUAGUGUCAUUCUUGGAUUAAAAUGUUGGACUUUUUGUUGAUGUACUUAAAACUGUAACCAGUGAUAACACCCUUAGUAUUUUUUAUUAUAGAUUAUAUUUUAUUUCAAUAAACUUUGAUAUUUAGACCAAACAGUCUUUCUGCUAUGUAUAUUCAUCUCAUGAAGGUACUUCUUACAAAGUGGGGCAAUGAAGAGAUGGGGAACUGCCAUUGAUUCACAUUUACCUAGGGUUAACUCUUAGAAUACUUGGGCCAACUCUUGAUAAAGACAGAGUUUUAUCCCUGAAGGCAAUGAACCAAAAAAUUAACUCUAAACUAUACAAUACUUAACUACCUGAUCCCAAUGGUAGAUUAUUUCUGAUACUUUUAUCCUCUUGGAGAACUAAGCUAGAAAGAGCUGAGAAGGGAUCGCUUUAUCCUUAUACCAAGCCAACCCUAAUGUAAAGUUUUUGUCCAACAAUUUAAUGUCCAAACCGGCUAAUGUCUAGUCUAACAUUUCUGUGAAAGUUUCUUAGACACCACAGCCCUCUGAGCAGAAUUAAUCAUUGCACAUAGUGUUUUGUUGACUUCCCCUUGUCACAGCAUUUAAGAUAAAUUGUGAGCCUUCUAAGAAUAGGAGUCCAACCUUACUCAUCUUGUAUUCUUGGCACAUUAUAUGAUCAUUGGCACUUUAAUGAACUUGAAUAUCUAUUUAGAGGAAUUUUAAAGAUAGCCAUAUGAAAUAGUCAUUGCUUGCCUGCCCUUUAAGUAAGUAAAAUAGGUAGAUUGGGUUGAGUUGAUUUUCUCCUGUAGCAUAAAAGUUAUGUAGACAGAGGAAAUUAAAAUUCCUAAUCUUUUAUCCCUGCCUCUGAUUUUCCUUGGGCAUCAUCUUACAUCCUCCCAGAGUUGAUGGAAGAAUACAGCAGCUUCAACAAAACUAGAGUAAGCAGCAUUGUCCUUUCCUCAUACCUUCUCUCGUAGGAUCCCUUUCCUCACUCUAUAUUAUCCUAUGAUAUAGGCACCUAUUGAUUUGUUGGAGCUGAGAUUUGAAGCCAAGCAGUCAGACUCCAGAGGCAUGCUCCCAAAUAGAUCUGGAAGGGGACAUACAGGGUCUAAGCCAGGUCUGUGUGCAAAUUCUGACCCUGGACUUUUGAAGUCACAUUUGUUUCAAAUCUGCAGAAAUCUGUAAAAUCAGGCCUAUUGGCCCUUUUUGUACUUUUUAGUUUUAGAGCAAGUUAAUACAACAUAGCCUGUUUGCUUAUCUCUAAAAUGUAGUAAUUUAUACCUUGUUGAAAAGAUAAUGCAUAUAUAGUGAGAGGCACAUAACAAUAAAUUAUAACAUCAUUAUUAAUAGAUACGAGAAACUUAUUUUAUUUAUUUAUUUUUUACCAAGCCAAGAACUUUAAGAAAAGGCUCCUUAAGCCUCAUAAAACAUUUCUAUUCUCUCCAAAUAUAAUGCUGAUCCUUCCAUAAGGGCAAUCAACCUGGUCUCAGAAUGACCCAGAGUGAAAAAAUGUGCAACAAGCAAUCUUAAUACAUAGAAUAAUAUAAUAAUGAAUUCCAUAUAAAACUGGAAACUGGCAUGCUCUCCUUGAAGACUAGCUAGGUUAUUUGCUUAUCAAGAAUAAAAUACAUCAGGAGACCUAGGCACCUCGACUUUUCAUAGGAAGGACCAUAUUUAGACUAAGCUGUAGCAUUACAUUUUAAAAAUAAGCGUAAGUCAGGAGCAGAGGACAAAGAACCAGACCAAGUCAGCACCUUCAACAAAGUUCAGGGUCGUGUAGGGGAAGAAAAAAAAUUUUCCUUCUGCCCUUGUAAGUUCUUGACUCGGGCCCCAUAUAAGACAGAUUAAUA